GGGACUGGCGCUGGAGCCCAGCGUGGGAUGACCGUGCCCCGAAAACAUGCCAGUGAAUGGAAAGAAGCCAAGGUCCCCUCCCUCCCUGCUUAUACCCUCAACUUUGCCAAUGAGGACCCUAAAUACCAGCUGCACUACAGGGGAUGUAACUACAUACACCGUCACCAAAGUUGCAGCCUGGCCAAGAAAUGCCAGGGGACGUCGCGGCGAUUGCAGACUCCGCGGUGACUGUGUAGAUACGUCCAGAAUUCGCCCUUGUAGCGCGGGGAGAGGCGAGAGUGAAGGCCUAGAAAAAAAGAAGAAUAAAUGGGACAUUACACAAGGUAUGUUUCUCUGAUUUUCCACUUUCUAUCC
rnacentral:lncRNA from 1 species